UGUAGGGCCGUCGUAGACUACGACGUCGAUAGGCCGCAGGUGUGAGCGUGGCGACACGUUGAGCCGAGCGGUACUAAUAGCCCGGUAGAGCUUUUCCUU
rfam:Fibrobacter sp. TWB8 genome assembly, contig: Ga0136280_117